rnacentral:ncRNA from 1 species
GGUUUGGUCCUAGCCUUGAAAUCAAUUACUACUUAAUAUACACAUGCAAGCAUCCACCCCCCUGUGAAAACGCCCUUUAUCUCCUUCUAGGAAAAAGGAGCCGGUAUCAGGCACGAAUGUCUGCCCAAAACACCUAGCUUCGCCACACCCACAAGGGAAUUCAGCAGUGAUCAACAUUGAGAAUAAGCGCAAGCUUGACUCAGUCAAAGUAAACAGAGCCGGCUAAUCUGGUGCCAGCCGCCGCGGUUACACCAUGUGGCUCAAAUUGACCCCUCUGCGGCGUAAAGCGUGAUUAAAGUCUCUCCCCACUAGAGUUAAAUUAAAACUGAGCUGUAACACGCCUGUUUAUUAAGAAACUCAAAAACGAAAGUUACUCUAACACAGCCCACUUGAACUCACGACAACUAAGAACCAAACUGGGACUAGAUACCCCACUAUGCUUAGCUAUAAACUUUUAUUUUACAUCAACAAAUCGCCAGGGAACUACAAGCCAAGCUUAAAACCCAAAGGACUUGACGGUACCCCAUAUCCCCCUAGAGGAGCCUGUCCUAUAAUCGAUACUCCACGUUUAACCUCACCAUUUUUAGCUUAUCAGCCUGUAUACCUCCGUCGCCAGCUUACCCCGUGAGCGCCAAUCAGUGAGCUAAAUGUUUCCCCCAUCAACACGUCACGUCAAGGUGCAGCAAAUAAAAUGGAAAGAGAUGGGCUACACUUUCUACAUUAGAAAAAACGAAAAACUAUUUAUAAAACCUAGUUAGAAGGCGGAUUUAGCAGUAAAAAGGAAUCAGAAUGCCCAUUUUAAUCUGGCACUGGGGUGUGUACACACCGCCCGUCACCCUCCUCGAAGCUAUAAUAAAGUUUUUAACUAACCAGCGCACAACAGAAGAGGCAAGUCGUAACAUGGUAAGUAUACCGGAAGGUGUGCUUGGAAA